rnacentral:tRNA from 1 species
GGAAAGAUAAGCUAAAUAAGCUAUUGGGCUCAUGCCCCGAAAAUGGUUAAAACCUCUUUCUA